rnacentral:rRNA from 1 species
GACAGAGGGUGCAAACGUUGUCCGGAAUUAUUGGGCGUAAAGAGCUCGUAGGCGGUUUGUCGCGUCUGCUGUGAAAUCCCGAGGCUCAACCUCGGGUCUGCAGUGGGUACGGGCAGACUGGAGUGCGGUAGGGGAGAAUGGAAUUCCUGGUGUAGCGGUGGAAUGCGCAGAUAUCAGGAGGAACACCGAUGGCGAAGGCAGUUCUCUGGGCCGUAACUGACGCUGAGGAGCGAAAGCGUGGGGAGCGAACAGG